ensembl:lncRNA
GAGGGGUUAUGGGAUGUGUGGGCAGGGUUACUCCACGGCAACAGUCCCACCCAUCACUCUGAGGUGGAUUCUAAUGAACUUCUGCCACGCUGCAGAAACUUUUUUUCUAGAAAAGGUUUUUUUAUUUGGCCCAAAAAUGGCAUAAUCGUAAUAAAAAAAACAGGGGACGUUUUAAAAAUAAAUAAAAAGAUGAUCAGAGUGGGACUUUAAACAUUUAGGAAGCUGAAAUUUCAACACUUGUCAACCUCUGUCGGAUGUUCUUUUACCCAAAUCUUCUUGUUGCCUGUAAAAUGUCCAAUGUCAGCGUGGAUCUAAAAACUUCUCCAAGUUAAACUGAAAAGCUCCAUAUGGCUUAACGCCACCACAAGUUGGAGGCAUCCUCCGUUCUGCUCAGCAUAGCUCACAGUUCCUCCCUACUGCACUUUCUCCUUGGAGGGAAAGUCAAAAGGUUUUCAUUUAUCUCAGACCGAAGACGAAGCACAAAACACGACUCCCCCGAGAGACCCACAAGGAAACUGUGAACACCUUGCCCCAAAUAUCUGAUCUUGGAGGAGCAGAAAAUAGCAUGCAUGCAUUUGUUUGCCGGGACGAAGACUUUGCUCAUUCCCAAGAUGCCGUGUUGUCAUUGAACAUGUUGCUGCUGUGUGUUCGGCAUAUAAAAAUACAUUUCGAUUUUUAUUGGGGAAAGAAAACACGAGAACAAAAGAUCUCAAGAACAAAAGAUAAUUGUAUUGAUCUGCUGAGCAUGUGGAGCGGCGCAGAAAAGGAAUGUUGAUAAAAUAUGAGCUGUGAGAGUAUGACUACAUUAAGUGUGCCUGUGUAUGAGUGUGUUUUCCCUGCUUUUUGUAUCUGUGUCAGUUUGUGUUUUAUUGACCAAUUUUCCUCAAUUUUAGGUUUUUCUUUGAAAGUAUUAAAGAGGCAAAUAGGAAAAAAGCAAAGCUUGAUUUUUAAAAGCAUAUUUUUGCUAAGUUAUAAUUCAUAAGGGUUCCCAUCCAAUUGUUCUUGCUAUACAUUUAAAUUAUCUAGUUUUCUUGAUGAAAUCCCAGUGUUAUUCAAUGUUGGGCACUCCAUUUAACAAGUGCAGAGUGUUUAACCUCAGCGGUAAUGCUUAGUGCAGAUGCGUUAGGACUUUUAAUUUGAUGUAAAGUGACAUUUCAUGGUUGCUUUCCCUGAAGAGGUUCUGAACAGUGUCAGAUUGCAAUUACAUAGAAGAACUAAACAUGUUAUUGUAAUGACUCUUUCCUUUUUUACUAUAUUCAAUCUCUCUUCUCAAAUCUAAGCCCAACUGUCUCAAAUAAUAUCAGAGUCUACUUUGAAUUCUUUUCAUAUUUUCUUUUGGAGUAAAAAGAAGCAGUUACACCCUUUUUUGCUGUGUGUGCGUGAAGAGGACACUGAUUUUUUUUGAGCCAUCUUCUUUUUGAAUAAAGCAAGCAAAACAUCUACAAGCAUGACUGCAGCUGCAGUUGCCUUUCAAAUGAGGUCGUAGUAAAACAUUGCUACGGAGCAGAACAUCUAAACUCCUCCUUGGAAACUUCAUUUUGGUGGUGGUGGUGUGGGGGGUCUGUGUGGAGGCCAGAGUCGGGGGGAAGGCUUCUGUCCUUUUCUCAGAAAGAGUGACCUGCAGAGGCUAAAGAGAGAAAUUAGACCUUCAAAGGUAAGUAAGUAGGGCCAACAGACCUGACCCACACACAAAGUUAAUUAAUGUCUAUUGCAGGAUUACAUAAAAAAACAACAACUAUACCACAGCACAAUUAUAACUAAACUUAAUAACACAAAUCUUUUUAUGUUUUUCAGUUCCAGUUGCUCACAGUCCAUGACACAAAGUUUUUGCACACUUGUCAGUCUUGGUCUCGCCACAAGGCUUAUGGGAUAGCCCUGCUUCAUAAAAACAAAAAAAAACAAAAAAAAACUGGCUUUGAGUUAGUGUGAGUGCAUGUAUGAGCGUGUGCAUACACAUGUCUAUCCCUUUAUGAGUUUUGUUUUUAUGUGAGUGUGGGUUUGAUGGUGGGCUUGCAUCAUAUUGCUUCUAAUUGCGUUUGCGUCUUUCUUGCAUUCCUGCAUGUGCAUGCUCGUUUGCAGUCGAUCAGAUCAGGAGAAAAGAAAGAUUUCAAAGCAGCUUGACAGACUCGGUUAUUAAAGAAUAAGCCAACUGUGACUUUUAUGCAUUCAACAAAAGGAUUUCACAAUGUCUCUGUGCAGAACCUUUUUUUUGCAUCUUUAAUCUUUAAUCAAAAUGCAAUAGAUCAUACAUUUAUUACCAAAUUUAUAAGUGAAAGAAUAGAAAAGUUGAAAUUUCAGCAGUGUUCCUUUUACCAGUACUUUAUUUAGGUUAGUUUGCACAGGCACAGAAUAAAACGUCUUAACAUUUCAAACCAGGUUACUCAGAUGCAAUACUCAAAAUGUUCUCUAAAUUUAUAUAUUUGGGUGAUUAUUUCUUUUCGUAGCCAUCAGGUUAAUGUAUGUAAGUGUUAUGCCUGUCCAAAUACCAUUGACUUUCUGUCAUCAGGUAGACUCUAACACAUAAAUUGUCAGGGUAAAGAUUUUUGAGAAAAAAGUGUUACAUUAAGAUAGCCUUCCAUUUACAACUCAGAUGUUUUCCUAAGAACUCACACAUGCAGGUCUAACUGCUGUUUUUACAGCCUCCUGUCUGGGCUUUCAGGUCACUAAUAAUUACCUCCAUGUGUCUGUCCCUGUUUCUCUUCAUCUGUUUAUUCAUUCAUCGCUUUUUUACCUUUUAGGCACUUGAAAAAAAAUGACUGUUAAGACAGAAAUAAAUCAUUUGUG